rnacentral:lncRNA from 1 species
GGGGGUUUUUAGACAAGUCGCUUUGAGCGUUAUCCUAGCGAUCCUUGUGAGGCGAUUGUUAGGUGUUAAAAUGGCGCGGAGAAGGUCGGGGAUUUAGCUCAGUGGUGCUGCCGCCUGCUUCGCAAGCGCAAGUUCCCGAGUUCGAUCUCCGGUACCAAAAAAAAAAAAAAAAAAGUAAAAUACCGCGGAGAAAGAGAGUUCAUUCUUAACCAGAGCUGUUCAAAGCCUUAACCUUGUGGGAGCCUGAGGAGGCCAAGGCAGGAGGAACGCAAGUUCGAGCCCAGUUUCUCGUCUUAGCGAACCCUGGCUCAAAAAAUAAAGGACUGGGUAUGUAGCUCAGUUCGAAGGCCCUGAGCUCAAUCCCCAGUACCGCUAAGAAAAAAAAAAUUCCCUCAAAUCCCCGCCCUCGUGGUUGUUAAAUUUUAGUGGAGAGAAAAAGCAAUCUGUAAAUAUAAGUAAAUUGCAUAGUGUGUCACAGGCAAUAUGUGAAAAUGUUAUGGGAAGGUGUUGUGGAUAAAGUGUUAGGGACAGGAGGAUGAGCAUGGCUGUGUGUGGGUUGGCCAUGCACUUUUUGCAGUUGAUUGAUUGAGUGAGACAGGGUCAUCAUGUAGUUCAGGCUGGCCUUGAGCUCACGGCAGUCCUCUUCCCUCAGCCUCCUGAGUGCUGGGAUUACAGGCGUGUGCCACCACACCUGGCUCUUUGCAAUUUAUUUAGGGGAAAUUAGCAAAGACAAGAGGCAGAGGACAGUCACUUGAGGCUCUGUAGUUAGGACUCUGAAUGGACGCAGGCCUGUUGAUACAUACAGGUAGACUUUUUAAACAAAAAUGUGGUCCUGCCAUAUGUGUGGGCCUGCAGUUUCCUUUCUAUAAUUUAGUACCAUGAUAUGUCAGAUUUAUUGAGGAAAUAGGAAGUUUGCUCUGGAGACACUUCUAGUUGUUGAUGCUUUCAUCUAGUGGCACCUACGUUCUCCAGCUGUACCUCUCUUCUCUUCUACUCUCACUGUGUGACACAGGCUACCCAUUUGUCUCUCCUCACUUCCCUUCAGAUUUACUUUGGAAGGCAGGGCUGGGGCAUGCACCUUUCCUCUGCAUCUUCUGUCUUCUUAGGUGCAUUAGUUUCCAGUUGCUCCUGUAAUAGAUAACUACAAUGAUGUACACUAAACCCAAAUGUCUCUUACAGUUCUGAGAUAAAAGUCAGGAUGGGCUAAAAGUCAGGAUGUCCACAGGGCUGUGUGGUUCUGGAGGCUCUAGACGAGACCAUUUCUAUCCAUUCCCUUAUUCCUUGGGUUGUGGCCCCUUUCUCUGGAGUACAUGACUUCAGUCUCAGCUUCCCCACCACACUGUUUUCUCAGGAAAUGACACCUUCUUCAUCUCUGGAAUAAUGACUAUUGUGAAGAUCGGGCCCAGCUGGAUAUUAGGAGAUAAUCUAUCUCAAAAUUCCUAAUGACAUUUUUAGAAUUUUGUGUCAUAAAAGUUCACAACUUUCAGGGACUACAGGAUGGACGCAUUUGGAGGACCUAAUUUUCAGCCCAUCAUGCAUGCAUGGACAGACGUAUUUCCCCUCUGAGCUCUGGGGAACAUGAGAUACCUCGCUUGGACCUCACUCCUCAAUCUUUAAUGGCAAACAACUGCAAUAUAUGUAUGUGCCAAUUCGCCACAAAACAAGUAUUAAUCACAUAUCACAAGCAUGUUCUAAUAAAAGGGAAAAUACAUUUUAAAAAUGGAAAACAGCAGAGCUCUUCCCUUAUCCUCUGAGUCUGUCACUCUUGUCUGACCUUCACCCUUCAUGUCCUCACAUCUCUCCCUCCUCAUCCAGUUUAGAGGCCAUUGCUAUAAUAAGAUCAGUCUCUUUGGAUUAACUAUUAACUCUCUUGCCGCUCUCUCUCACUUGAUCUUAUUCUAAAAUUACAAAUCCUAAGUGAAUCUAACUCCCUGUCUCUUCCUUGCCUGGGCCCAUGUGGAAGAUGUGGGUUGAGAAGAAUACAUGACCCUUGAAGACUGGUCUCACUUUGAAUUUAUGACCACAAAGUUCACGUGGGCUUCUGCAAUGGUUAAGCUUAAAUGUGUCAACCUGAUUGGCUUGGGAGCCACCCGAGGGAUUUGUAAAGCACACUUCUGGGUGUGUCUGGGUAGAUAAUGCAGGCCUGACUUUGGGGUCUAUAUCUGGUCUCUGAUUUUUCAUCUCUGGCACUGUCCCCUGCUCUACUCCCCAGCUGCCAUGAACUAUAUAACUUUAUUUCACAAGGCCAUUCCCCAUGAUGCUCCUGCCUUGGAGCCAGCUGAAUCCUUUGAAACCAUGAGGAGGAAAGUUACACCUGUCCUUGUUUAAGCUGUGGGCAUUGGGUAUUUUGUUUAGCAGUGGGAAAGCUGACCAAUACAACCUCUCAUGUUGCCCAGGUAUUAUUCUCCGUUUUCUUAGUCUGGC